rnacentral:lncRNA from 1 species
CUUCUUCUUCUGAGUUCUGCCAUAAGCAACACAUGGGAUCAAGUUGUUAUUGUUGGGAGAAGUUUUGGAGGUAAGUUUUAAUUAUUGGUUUCUAUUAAAUUGUUGUGGAGAAGCACGAUUGCAAUAGAAGUAGAAAUCUAAGAUUUUGCAGAAAUAUACUGACAGUGAAUUAUUACGGAAAUCAUAGUAAUUUGUACAAAUUGAUUUUGAUUCUGAUUUUUGGGUAUGUUAAACUAGACAUCGUCUAGAAUGUUUUGAAACUUGUUUCAAGUUAAUCGGAUAAGAUUUCAAUUAAUUAUGAUUUUUCAAAUUCAAGUCUGAAAACCUGAAAAUUUAUGAUUUUAGUGCAUAACGUGAAUUACGAAAUUAUUUUUACCAUAGUUAGACUUCUUCAAAAAUUAUGAAAUUUGGACCAAUGAUUUUUAUAUAUGUCUAGUAUGAUUCUGGAAAUUUUCAUGAUUUUAUCAUAAAGCAAUAAAUUGUUUUGUAUUUGUAAAGCAAGUGUGUUCAAAACAGAAAAUUGUUUGACAGUAUUGAUGAUGUCUGAAACGUGAAUUAUUUUCAAUAGUUUUUGAAGGAAUUAUGUUAUGAAAUUUUUAUCAAUGAACUUUCAAUGUGUCAGCAUAUGAUCUGUAAAAUUUGAGAUUCUUCCAAUAAGAGAAUAAUUUAUUAAAAAUCGGAGAAGUAUGGACUGUUAUGUUUUGAGGGCCGAUUAUUGAGGACAUUUGAGGUUGAGCUUAGGAGUUGUUUAAAUUGAGAUAUUUGAGGACAUUAGAGUUUAUGAUUGAGAUUUGAUUAUAUCUUAUGAGGCGUUAUUGAUGAUUUUAGGUUGAUGGUAUCAGUACGCAUUUGUUACAUGAGGAUGCCAAGAGGUAAGUAAAAUAGACUUUAAAACGAAUCACAAUAAACAAUAUAUAUGCUUGACUUGUAUGAAAAGCCUAUUUUGAUAUGCAAGAAUAUAGAUUUAUAUGUCUCUGCUCAUGUGUUUAUGUGAUGUGUUGUUAUGUAUUGGGCGUGAUUAUGUACAUGGGCAUAUGUAUGUGUGAUGGUUCAUUGGCAUGAGCACGAAAAUGCAUUGAGUUUUCUAUGAAUGAGAAAGUGGAUUUUAGCAAACAUAAUUUCUGUUUUAUGAGAUUUUGCAUUGGGAGCCACCUCUUGAAGUUGUGUGGGGGCCACCUCUUGAGACUAUGCAGGGGCCACCUCUUGAGGGCCAGAGCGCCGCAAAGUGCCACGCCUGGUGCAAAGUGCCACGCACAGCACAAAGUGCCACAAUUGCAGAAUAUGUAUUUCAUCAAAAGAAAAUGAGAAAGUUUGAAAGCGACAGAAAGAGAUUUUUAUGAAUUUAUUUUACAGUAUUUCCAAAAGAUCAUGGCAUAUCAUCCAUUGCAUUAUGUAUAAGUAUGUAUGUAUUUUCUAUAAGAAAAACUAGUUUGCUUACUGGGUUUUGUACUCAUUAUAGUUUAUUGUGAUUCAGUUUCCAGAAGUCAGGAUUGAUUCGUGAUGAGUGAGAAGAUGGAUUUGAAUUGAGGAUAGUAGAUGGUUUGGUUAAGUUUUUAAGUUAUUCCGCUGGCUUUUGUAUUUGAGGCUCGAAUUUUAUCGGUUGUAAAGAGUUAUUUAAAUUCAUAUGUGAGUUGUGGACAUAUUUGCCCUUAGAUUUCGGAUUGGGGUGUUGCAGCAGAAGUCAGAGUUUUAAAUUGACAAUUUUUUUAAGAGGGUACAAACAGUCAGCAGCCUAAAAAUUAUGUCCGACAUCUUUCUCAGAGAAUGGAUAUAUGGAUUUUUAUAAUCAGACAUCUGCAUUCUAAUGCCCCUACCAAAAGAAUGUGCACUAUUCAAACACCAUGUAAAUAGAAUAAGCAAAGAUAUAACAAAGCUAAUAGGACAUGCUUCCCACCAAAUGCAUAAAAAACACUGACACUGCCUUAGGAAGCCAUUUUCGAAGUUGACAAUUGGAAUCUUAUCUACGAAUUG